rnacentral:misc_RNA from 1 species
UAAACUUGAAAGGAUUCCUUCAGAGUGCCUACGUCCAUCCCGUUUUCAAGCACGAUGAAGACGACGUAGAGAUCGAAACUGAUUCUGAAGAUUGGCAGCAGGAGCCAGCACUGGUGCCAACAAAACGGCAGUCACGUAGGAAUACGCCGUUGCCGAGCAAGCACAGCGGUCCAUUAUCAUCUUCACAUUCUGAAGUUGGAGGAAUUUCAUAACAUUCAGAAAUGGUGUUAUAGAGAAGAAAAAGG